UACAGAGACUGCAAGCGUUAUUCGGAUUCACUGGGCGUAAAGGGUGCGCAGGCGGCCAGAUGUGUCAGGUGUGAAAGCCCGGGGCUUAACCCCGGAAUUGCGCCUGAAACUGUCUGGCUAGAGUACUGGAGAGGGUAGCGGAAUUCACGGUGUAGCAGUGAACUGCGUAGAUAUCGUGAGGAACACCAGAGGCGAAGGCGGCUACCUGGACAGUAACUGACGCUCAGGCACGAAAGCGUGGGGAGCAAAAGGG
rnacentral:misc_RNA from 1 species